GCCCCGUCUGUGGAAACCCGUAGAUCCGAACUUGUGCUGCACUGUACAACUGGACACAAGAACGGAUAUAUGGGAUUCUGUCGACGGUUGGC
rnacentral:pre_miRNA from 2 species